rnacentral:rRNA from 1 species
GACUACUGGGGUAUCUAAGCCCGUUCGCUCCCCACGCUUUCGUGCCUCAGCGUCAGCCAUGUCCCAGUAAGCCGCCUUCGCCACCGGUGUUCUUCCCGAUAUCUACGCAUUUCACCGCUACUCCGGGAAUUCCGCUUACCCCUGACACGCUCCAGAUAUCCAGUUUCAAGCGCAAUGCCCCAGUUAAGCCGGGGGAUUUCACACCUGACACGGAUAUCCGCCUACACACCCUUUACGCCCAGUUAUUCCGGACAACGCUAGGACCAUACGUAUUACCGCGGCUGCUGGCACGUAUUUAGCCGGUCCUUACUCCGGAGGUACCGUCACUCAGACACAUUACUGCCUGACAUUCUUCCCUCCUUACAGAGCUUUACAACCAGAAAGGCCUUCAUCACUCACGCGGCGUCGCUGCGUCAGGGUUUCCCCCAUUGCGCAAUAUUCCCUACUGCAGCCCCCCGUAGG